rnacentral:rRNA from 1 species
AGUGAACGCUGGCGGUAGGCCUAACACAUGCAAGUCGAACGGCAGCACAGUAAGAGCUUGCUCUUACGGGUGGCGAGUGGCGGACGGGUGAGGAAUACAUCGGAAUCUACUUUUUCGUGGGGGAUAACGUAGGGAAACUUACGCUAAUACCGCAUACGACCUACGGGUGAAAGCAGGGGAUCUUCGGACCUUGCGCGAUUGAAUGCGCCGAUGUCGGAUUAGCUAGUUGGCGGGGUAAAGGCCCACCAAGGCGAGGAUCCGUAGCUGGUCUGAGAGGAUGAUCAGCCACACUGGAACUGGGACACGGUCCAGACUCCUACGGGAGGCAGCAGUGGGGAAUAUUGGACAAUGGGCGCAAGCCUGAUCCAGCCAUACCGCGUGGGUGAAGAAGGCCUUCGGGUUGUAAAGCCCUUUUGUUGGGAAAGAAAAGCAGCAGGUUAAUACCCCGCUGUUCUGACGGUACCCAAAGAAUAAGCACCGGCUAACUUCGUG